rnacentral:tRNA from 1 species
GUUCUUAUAGUGUAGUUUAGUAGCACAUUAGAUUUUCAGUCUUUUAGGAUAUAAAGUAUUUAAUAUUAAGAAUA